rnacentral:rRNA from 1 species
AUACGGAGGAUGCGAGCGUUAUCCGGAUUUAUUGGGUUUAAAGGGAGCGUAGGCGGGAGCUUAAGUCAGCGGUUAAAUGGUGCGGCUCAACCGUGCCCUGCCGUUGAAACUGGGUUUCUUGAGAGUGCAAGAGGCGGAUGGAAUUCAUGGUGUAGCGGGGCAAUGCUUAGAUAUCAUGAAGAACUCCGAUUGCGAAGGCAGUCCGCUGGGGCACGUCUGACGCUGAUGCUCGAAGGUGCGGGAAUCAAACAGGAUUAGAUACCCUGGUAGUCCGCACGGUAAACGAUGAUUACCCGCUGUCGGCGGCAGACAGUCGGCGGCCAAGCGAAAGCGAUAAGUAAUCCACCUGGGGAGUACGCCGGCAACGGUGAAACUCAAAUGAAUUGACGGGG